GUUCUCACUCAAGGCACAAAUGAUCAGGCUCAAAUGAUCCUACUCUGGAUGCAUGAUGCAAAAACCUAGUUCUCUGGAGAAGGCUUUCAUGCUGAGAAUGGUGGAAGGAAAGAGAAGAGGAUGACCAAUUGCAAGGGGGAUGGACUAAAUUACAUGGCAUUGAGCGCACCAUUGGAAGAGCUGAAUGACCAUAUGAAAAACAAUUCAGAGGACUAAAAGACUGAGCCCAGCCUUGGAAGUGACACUAUAGGUAACUAAAAUGAUCAGACAAAUCCUUGUGGGAAGACCCAGACAACUUCUUAAUUGAUAUGUUCAUGUUUCUGCAAUAAAUGUAUUUCUUAACUGUA